rnacentral:rRNA from 1 species
AUUGAACGCUGGCGGAAUGCUUUACACAUGCAAGUCGAGCGGCAGCACGGGGGCAACCCUGGUGGCGAGCGGCGAACGGGUGAGUAAUACAUCGGAACAUGCCCAGUCGUGGGGGAUAACACUUCGAAAGAAGUGCUAAUACCGCAUACGUCCUGAGGGAGAAAGCGGGGGAUCUUCGGACCUCGCGCGAUUGGAGUGGCCGAUGUCAGAUUAGCUAGUUGGUGGGGUAAAGGCCUACCAAGGCAACGAUCUGUAGCUGGUCUGAGAGGAUGAUCAGCCACACUGGGACUGAGACACGGCCCAGACUCCUACGGGAGGCAGCAGUGGUGAAUUUUGGACAAUGGGGGCAACCCUGAUCCAGCCAUUCCGCGUGAGUGAAGAAGGCCUUCGGUUGUAAAGCUCUUUCGGCAGGAACGAAACGGCGAGCUCUAACAUAGCUUGCUAAUGACGGUACCUGAAGAAGAAGCACCGGCUAACUACGUGCCAGCCGCCGCGGUAACAC